UAGAUCCUUGCAAAGACGAGCAGUGGGGCCAACUCUCACCCUUUGGUUGGGUCCCGAUUCCUUUUCAGCUCCCUUGAGCCCAGGCAGCAAGUCCAGAACUCCAGUAGAACCUCAGCUCUGAUGGCGUCUCAGCACAUCUAUCCCUCUUCCGGCUCAUCUCAGUAGGUGGAGUGGAAUUAAGAACAUGGCCUGCUCCACCCCAACAUUAGGCACCAGCUGUUUUGUACUGUCCAUCCUGUCGACGCUUAUUAAUGAUUCUGAUCAACCUCUAUGGAGAUCCAUUAUCUCUAAACCAGGGAAUGUACUAUUAAUUCCCAUCUGUGCCGGAUUACUUACAGUUAGUGGUUGGUAGUUUUCCAUGGUCUCACAACACAUCUUAAUCAGAUGGCCCUGGGAUAGACUCGUGUACCCUGUGUGUUCUCCAUACACAUGCAGCAAAUUAAACACAGAGUUAAGAUGGUGCAGGAAACCUGGACGCUUGCAGGGAGAGUCAUUUGUCUUCAACGUGAGGAUGAAUCUGAAGCUCUCCCUGCAGAAUGUGGGAUCCACUUUCAAAUCUGGACAGAGGCUUUCAUCCAACCUGCAGAAGAUCCUGGCAGUUCCCAUUUAGAACUGUGGAAAUCAAAUGAUUGGUAAGCCUGAACUGCCUUCUGUGGCCCAGAGUUGGAGAUGACUGCAAACUCCAUUCCUCAAACCAUCACCACCCAACCCACGUCUCCACCCCUGCUAGAAAGAAGUCAGCACCUCAGAAAAGGUAAAUGGUGGCAGAAAGACCCUCUGGCAGGAUCAUGGGCAAAGUGACAGCCCCUCCCAAUUCGCUGGCUUCACUCCAGAAUGACUCACUAUUCCAACUUCAGGCACUUUCUCUUUCUUUGAUGUUGCUGUUCCUGGCAUCUUCAGCAAGGAGACUGGGGAAGUAGGCUAGAAUAUUAA